rnacentral:rRNA from 1 species
UCUAGAUUAUUUCGAGGGGAAGGCUACCAUGGCUUUCACGGGUACAGGGAUUAGGGUGAUUCUGGAGAAGGAGCCUGAGAACGGCUACUACAUCUACGGAAGGCAGCAGGCGCGUAAUUACCCAAUCCUGACUCUCUGCUCCCCGGUGACAAGAUAUAACGACCCGAUUAAUGUCGUGAUUGUAGUGAGGAUAUUCCUAACAGAAUCACAAGAACGAUUAGAGGGCAAGUCUGGUGCCAGCAGCCGCGGUAAUUCCAGCUCUAAUAGCGUAUAUUAAAGUUGCUGCAGUUAAAAAGCUCGUAGUUGGAUUUCAAGGAUUGUAAACCCCUCCGGGAAUACAUCCUACUAUUCUUCUUACUGUUACUGUGAGAAAAUUAGAGUGUUUCAAGCAGCCUUCGCAAGAAUACAUUAGCAUGGAAUAACGAAUGUAUUUAGAAUCUUGGUUAAUUCUAAAUUACGAUUAAUAGAGACAGUGGGGGCAGAGCAGCAGCGCAGAGGGAAAUUCUGGAUUUGUUAAGACUAACGUAUGCUUAUAGCAUUUGCAAGAUGUUUUCAUUAUCAAGACGAAAGAUAGGGGAUCCAACGACCAUCAGAUACUGUCGUAGUCCUAUCUAUAACUAUGCGACUAGGGAUCGAUGAAAUCCACCAAUUUCGUACCUUAUGAGAAUCAAGUCUUGGUUCUGGGGGAGUAUGUCGCAGACUGAAACUUAGACUGACGAGUACACAGGAUGGACCUGCGCUAUGACCACCGGCACUACAGUCGAACUAGUAGAUGGCGAUGAAGCCUUUCUUGAUUCUAUGGUGGGGCAUGCGUCUAUGGCGAGAUUGCUGGUAUCGAUCGACGAACCUAACUGUACUAGCCUACU